AUAUUUUUGUAAAGAAAAUAGAGACCCAAAAUCUUGGAAACCCUAACCGGAUACCCACGUUAAUCUUAUAUAAAAAAUAAAUACCCACCUUCUCCUCUCCUUCUCAUUCUCCUUCUCCUUCUCCAUUUAUCCCUUUCUUUCUGCUAAACUUCAACAGAUGUAAGUGUUGUAUGUAUGGCUGUAAGUAACCCUUAUAACCCAACACCAAAAUCUAUCUCAGAACAAGAAUAGUCAAAAUCUCUCAAUUCUUCACUCCACCAAUUCUCUCAAUAAAACGACAAAAUAUUCUUCGCCAUGGCCACCGAUGCCACCACCACCAAAUUCCAAAACCCCACCGAUUUCCGCCCCGAUUUCCACUCGGAGAAAAUCUCCUCCGCAACCUCUUACGACGGUCUCCAUUUUUGGCAAUACAUGAUUUCCGGUUCCAUAGCCGGUCUUGUGGAACACAUGGCCAUGUUCCCUGUUGAUACAGUCAAGACCCAUAUGCAAGCAAUCGGGUCUUGCCCCAUUAAAUCCGUUAGUGUAACCCAAGUCCUCAAUUCCCUUCUCAAAUCCGGAGGCCCUUCUUCCCUUUACCGUGGCAUUGCCGCCAUGGCUCUUGGCGCUGGUCCUGCCCACGCUGUCCAUUUUUCAGUUUAUGAAGUCUGCAAGAAACAUUUGUCGCGAGACAACCCAAAUAGUUCAAUUGCUCACGCCGUCUCUGGUGUUUGUGCAACGGUUGCUAGCGAUGCGGUUUUUACACCAAUGGAUAUGGUAAAGCAGAGAUUGCAAUUGGGGAGUGAUAGUGUUUAUAAGGGUGUUUGGGAUUGUGUUAAGAGGGUGGUGAGAGAAGAGGGGUUUGGUGCGUUUUAUGCUUCGUAUAGGACGACUGUUUUGAUGAAUGCUCCAUUUACUGCGGUUUAUUUUGCAACAUAUGAGGCUGCGAAGAAGGGCUUGAUGGAGAUUUCUCCUGAGAGUGCUAAUGAUGAGAACUGGGUUCUUCAUGCUACUGCUGGUGCUGCAGCUGGAGCAUUGGCGGCUGCUAUUACCACACCACUCGAUGUUGUUAAAACUCAGUUGCAGUGUCAGGGUGUUUGUGGGUGCGACAGAUUUAAAAGUGGUUCAAUUGGAGAUGUGAUUAAAACAAUAGUUAAAAAGGAUGGUUACAGAGGCCUCAUAAGAGGUUGGAUCCCAAGGAUGCUCUUCCAUGCACCAGCCGCAGCAAUCUCCUGGUCUACAUACGAGGCCUCAAAAUCUUUCUUUCAGGAACUCAAUGAUAAUAGUAACAGUGACAAUGUCACUUGAAUAACCAAGGAGCGAAAGGGUAUUCGCUAUUCUGCUGAUGCAUCACAAUAAUGUGUACAAGUAAUGAGAUGCUAGCUUCCCACGAGAGAUCGCAAGCAAGCACGUGUACCAUUUUUUCAGGCCCAGUUGCUGUCAAUUUAAUUGCUAUUGAUUUCCACUCAGUUUUCUGAUCGUGGUGAUUCCAUUGAUGAUUUUGGAGCUUAUUUGUUUUUACUCGGUUUUAUUUUUGGGGUCUCUAUUAUGGCGUCUGGCGAACAUUAAGAUAUCAUAGGUUGACAUAAUGAUACCACGAGUCUAGUUAUGCCAGGAGCAGAUGACAGUAUUGAAUCUACAAGAAUGGUAUCCGGGUAAAACUUUCCUUCGUCUCGGUCAAUUUCAAUGGCAUCAUUAGGAGAUGGUUUAUUUUUAACCAAGACUAUCAUUUUUCUAUUUGGAUUUGCCUUUUUUUUCCUUCCAAAUAUGGACGCAUGCUUCUGCGGCCUUAUAAUUCGUAAACCGCAGCUUUUGCACCCCUACAGCAUACUGGGAGUACUGUCACUGCAUUCAUGUUGAAUCAACCUUUACGGAGGGCCUGUAGAUGACAGCAGAAGCGAUUGCCCAUUUAGCACAUUCCGAUGGUAUACUCACGUGACACGGCCAUCAUUGGUGAAAGGACAGGGUAAUGCUAAGUUUCUAACUACUUGAUGGGAGAAAAGGAAAAAAGGGGCUAUGGUGGGCGGAGGAGGAGGAGGUGAUCUUUUUUAUGUAAUUUCGCUUCCAUGUUAGCGUCAAUUUAUAUUCAAAUGUGGACACUUUCAAUUUCCUUGGCGUCAUUACAAGAUCCUCGAACUUUACAAGACAACCAAGAAGCCAGGAAUAAAUAAGAACUUCGUGACUAUAA